rnacentral:rRNA from 1 species
CUCCGGUUGAUCCUGCCGGACCUGACUGCUAUCGGAUUGGUACUAAGCCAUGCGAGUCAUUGUAGCAAUACAAGGCGGACGGCUCAGUAACACGUAGUCAACCUAACUCGUGGACGUGGAUAACCUCGGGAAACUGAGAAUAAACCACGAUAGAUCAUAGUGCCUGGAAUGGCUUAUGGUCCAAACAGUUUACUGCCAUGGGAUGGGACUGCGGCCUAUCAGCUUGUUGGUGAGGUAAUGGCCCACCAAACCUGUAACCGGUACGGGCUCUGAGAGGAGGAGCCCGGAGAUGGGCACUGAGACAAGGGCCCAGGCCCUAUGGGGCGCAGCAGGCGCGAAACCUCUGCAAUAGGCGAAAGCCUGACAGGGUUACUCUGAGUGAUUUCCGUUAAGGAGAUCUUUUGGCACCUCUAAAAAUGGUGCAGAAUAAGGGGUGGGCAAGUCUGGUGUCAGCCGCCGCGGUAAUACCAGCACCCCGAGUGGUCGGGACGUUUAUUGGGCCUAAAGCAUCCGUAGCCGGUUCUACAAGUCUUCCGUUAAAUCCACCUGCUUAACAGAUGGGCUGCGGAAGAUACUAUAGAGCUAGGAGGCGGGAGAGGCAAGCGGUACUCGAUGGGUAGGGGUAAAAUCCGUUGAUCCAUUGAAGACCACCAGUGGCGAAGGCGGCUUGCCAGAACGCGCUCGACGGUGAGGGAUGAAAGCUGGGGGAGCAAACCGGAUUAGAUACCCGGGUAGUCCCAGCUGUAAACGAUGCAGACUCGGUGAUGAGUUGGCUUCUUGCCAACUCAGUGCCGCAGGGAAGCCGUUAAGUUUGCCGCCUGGGGAGUACGGUCGCAAGACUGAAACUUAAAAGGAAUUGGCGGGGGAGCA